rnacentral:rRNA from 1 species
CAGUCGCCGCGGUAAUACGAAGGGUGCAAGCGUUAAUCGGAAUUACUGGGCGUAAAGCGUGCGUAGGCGGUGAGUUAAGUCUGCUGUGAAAUCCCCGAGCUCAACCUGGGAAUGGCAGUGGAUACUGGCUCGCUAGAGUGUGUCAGAGGAUGGUGGAAUUCCCGGUGUAGCGGUGAAAUGCGUAGAGAUCGGGAGGAACAUCAGUGGCGAAGGCGGCCAUCUGGGACAACACUGACGCUGAGGCACGAAAGCGUGGGGAGCAAACAGGAUUAGAUACCCCCGUAGUCCCUGUCUCUUAUAC